UUCCAUUCUGUAAGCUGCAUUUUCACUUUCAUGAUGGUGUGCUCUGAAAUCAAAGUUUUUAUAUCUGAGAACUCCCAAUUUAUCUGUUUACUUUGCUUCCUUAUGCUUGGGUGUCAUAGCUAAGAAACCAUUGCCUAAUCCAACGUCAGAAAGAUUUACUCUCAGGUUUUCUUCUAAAUGUUUUAUAAUUUUAGCUCUUACAUUUAGGUCCAUGACCCAUUUUGAGUUAAUUAUUGUAUAUGGUGUGAGGCAGAGCCAGGGUGAUGUCUCAAAAACAAACCAGACUCGGUGACUCUGCUUCUUAAAAUUCUCUACUGGCUUCCGGCUGCUCUUAGAACACAAUCCUAGUUCCUCGCCCCAAGGUUUUCAGCCUCAUCUCAGCGCCCACGCACCCCCUCCCACCUCCCCCCCCCAGGCCUAGCUUGCUGGAGCUAUGGCUGCCUUCUCACAGUUCCUAAUCCCUAAACUCAUUCUGACUGGUGUUUUUGCAAUGCUGUUCCCUAUGCCGAAAACAAUUUCUAGUGGCUACUGCCCUUCUUUCCAUCUCAGUGUAAAAGUGCCUUCUUCAGUUAAGACCUUGGCUGACCACUCUACAUGAGAUAUCCAAAUACCUAAGAAGUGAGCCCGAGAGAUGAUUGAAACUUUUGAUCCGGGAAAUAACUCACACAUUUGUUUUGCUUUGCUCUAAUCUUCAGAGGUGUGUGUAUCAUGUUGCCAGGUCCCAGGUUUUUAAAAAACAGAUUUUCCUUUGGGCUUCCCCCCUCCCACCUUUCAUCGCGGUAAUAUUUUCUCUUAUCUCUCAUCUUCUAAAAAAAAGUAGGUGUAACAGUCUAAUCAGCCUUUACCAACUUUUCUGCAAGAACAAGGCAGAAAAUACGAAGAUAUACAUCAAGAAUUGUUAUUAUUGUUUAUGUAGUAGUGAUAUAUGACUCCACUGGGCUUUGUGUUUUACAUGGCCACUUUGAAAACACAGGAUGCUGUUCAGGCACAAGCAAUUUGUUUCUGAGUCCUGUGCUUGGAUAUUUCUAAUAAAUAUAUUCUGCCUCUGAUUUUAUGAUAUCAACAAGAUACCCAUGCAAUAAAAUAUUUUCAGAUUC